rnacentral:rRNA from 1 species
UACGUAGGGGCAAGCGGUUGUCCGGAAUCAUUGGGCGUAAAGCGCGCGUAGGCGGCCCGGUAAGUCCGUUGUGAAAGUCAAAGGCUCAACCUUUGAACGCCGAUGGAUACUGCCGGGCUAGAGUCCGGAAGAGGCGAGUGGAAUUCCUGGUGUAGCGGUGGAAUGCGCAGAUAUCAGGAGGAACACCAAUAGCGAAGGCAGCUCGCUGGGACGGUACUGACGCUGAGGCGCGAAAGCGUGGGGAGCGAACAGG